ACAACUUUCAACAACGGAUCUCUUGGUUCUGGCAUCGAUGAAGAACGCAGCGAAAUGCGAUAAGUAGUGUGAAUUGCAGAAUUCAGUGAAUCAUCGAAUCUUUGAACGCACAUUGCGCCCUUUGGUAUUCCAAAGGGCAUGCCUGUUCGAGCGUC
rnacentral:rRNA from 2 species